UGAAGUGAUCCAGCAACUACC
ensembl:piRNA 21ur-11119 ncRNA